rnacentral:rRNA from 1 species
AGAGUUUGAUCAUGGCUCAGGAUGAACGCUGGCGGUAUGCUUAACACAUGCAAGUCGAACGAAAGUCUUCGGAUUUUAGUGGCGGACGGGUGAGUAACGCGUGAGAAUCUACCUAUAGGUUGGGGAUAACAGCUGGAAACAGCUGCUAAUACCGAAUGUGCCGAGAGGUGAAAGCUUUAGUGCCUGUAGAAGAGCUCGCGUCCGAUUAGCUAGUUGGUUGGGUAAAGGCUGACCAAGGCGACGAUCGGUAGCUGGUCUGAGAGGAUGAUCAGCCACACUGGGACUGAGACACGGCCCAGACUCCUACGGGAGGCAGCAGUGGGGAAUUUUCCGCAAUGGGCGAAAGCCUGACGGAGCAAUACCGCGUGCGGGACGAAGGCUUUUGGGUCGUAAACCGCUUUUGUUAGGGAAGAAGAACUGACGGUACCUAACGAAUCAGCAUCGGCUAACUCCGUGCCAGCCGCCGCGGUAAUUC